AAUGAUUACCCUUGACACGGUGGAUCAUUUGGAUCAUGGGUCGAUGAAGAACGCAGUUAUUUGC
rnacentral:rRNA from 1 species